UGGGAACACACUACACAGUGACAGCAU
rnacentral:piRNA from 1 species